AUUGAACGCUGGCGGCAGGCUUAACACAUGCAAGUCGAGCGGGGUGAUGUGCUUCGGUACUGAUCCUAGCGGCGGACGGGUGAGUAAUGCUUAGGAAUCUGCCAUUUAGUGGGGGACAACAUUCCGAAAGGAAUGCUUAUACCGCAUACGUCCUACGGGAGAAAGCAGGGGAUCUUCGGACCUUGCGCUAAAUGAUGAGCCUAAGUCGGAUUAGCUAGUUGGUGGGGUAAAGGCCUACCAAGGCGACGAUCUGUAGCGGGUCUGAGAGGAUGAUCCGCUACACUGGGACUGAGACAUGGCCCAGACUCCUACGGGAGGCAGCAGUGGGGAAUAUUGGACAAUGGGCGGAAGCCUGAUCCAGCCAUGCCGCGUGUGUGAAGAAGGCCUUUUGGUUGUAAAGCACUUUAAGCGAGGAGGAGGCUACUUAGAUUAAUACUCUAGGAUAGUGGACGUAACUCGCAGAAAAAGCACCGGCUAACUCUGUGCCAGCCGCCGCCGUAACAC
rnacentral:rRNA from 1 species